UACGUAGGGGGCAAGCGUUGUCCGGAUUUAUUGGGCGUAAAGAGCGUGUAGGCGGCUUGGUAGGUCCGCUGUGAAAACUCGAGGCUCAACCUCGAGAUGUCGGCGGAAACCACUUGGCUAGAGUCCGGAAGAGGAGAGUGGAAUUCCUGGUGUAGCGGUGAAAUGCGCAGAUAUCAGGAAGAACACCUAUGGCGAAGGCAGCUCUCUGGGACGGUACUGGACGCUGAGACGCGAAAGCGUGGGGAGCGAACAGG
rnacentral:rRNA from 1 species